CGCGCAGGCGGUCCCGCGCGCCCGGCGUGAAACGCCCCCGGCUCAACCGGGGAGGGUCGUCGGGGACGGCGGGACUUGAGGGCGGUAGGGGCCGGUGGAAUCCCUGGUGUAGUGGUGAAAUGCGUAGAGAUCAGGGGGAACACCCGUGGCGAAGGCGGCCGGCUGGGCCGACCCUGACGCUGAGGCGCGAAGGCGUGGGGAGCGAACG
rnacentral:rRNA from 1 species